rnacentral:rRNA from 1 species
UACGUAGGGGGCAAGCGUUGUCCGGAUUUAUUGGGCGUAAAGAGCGUGUAGGCGGCCAGGUAGGUCUGGUGUGAAAACUCGAGGCUCAACCUCGAUAGGUCAUCGGAAACCAUCUGGCUAGAGUCCGGAAGAGGAGAGUGGAAUUCCCGGUGUAGCGGUGAAAUGCGCAGAUAUCGGGAAGAACACCUAUGGCGAAGGCAGCUCUCUGGGACGGUACUGACGCUGAGACGCGAAAGCUAGGGGAGCGAAGCGGG